GCAACAUUUGGAUUGUAACGGAUUUUUAGGUGUCUGUUGUUUUGUGAUUUUUGUGAAAGAUCCAGUUUAAGGAGCUGUGGUGAUAAAAUUUUCCAACACAAAAGAAAAAGACAUGGAAGCAGUAAUCAAAGACUGGCUGAAGUCUUCAAAAAUUCGGUUAACCAGCAAAGAGAAAUCUAAAAAUGUUCAAACACCGGAUGAUCCUGGAGGAAAAUCUGAUUGCUUCAAGAAUUGAGAUUGAAUUGAGGUGCAGUAACAUAAACCGGUAUGUAGCUCA